UGAAUGUCGCUUCUCGUGAGUUGUGUGUCCAAAAUAGGACAGGGUGGGGUUCUGCUUGACAUAAAUAGGUGUUCAGGAUCACCUAUUGAUCAUUCUAGUUCUCGUCCGUUUAUGCGUAGAUAACCCCCUCAUAUUUCUUGUACUUGUAAGUUAGCCACCUCAAAUAAAUCCUUUGUUGCUUGCUGCUGCCUCACGACUUUAACAUACCUCGCCAUUAAGCUUUGCUAGUCUUGAUACAUUUGGUAAUGAGAUUGUUGAGUCUGUGUGGCUCAUAGAUUACUAGAACAAUAGUUGCAGGUACAUGUUAAGCAAUACUUUGAUGUGAGAGCGAUGAUUGUGCUAUUUGGAGUUUCUCUUCUUCUUCUUCUUCAUCAUCGAUCUAGGAUGGGCUCCAAGACGGCGGCCUGGGAUAGCAAGGAUGGACGUUGUUCUUUUAUCAUUUGUUUUCGUCUGUAGUCGGACCCUGCUCUUCUACUUGGUUAUUGAAUAGGUUGUUGUAUUGAUGUGAUCUUGAUGUCGUUUGUAGCGAGUGUAAGUCAAUUCCAUAUACUCAUCUCUUCUGUACACAUACUUGUUACGAUAUCUAUUCUAGCGAAACGACGAGAUGCACUUCUAUCCCCGUAGAGGCCCUCGUGCCAAAAUAAGGAUAGGAUCGCAUCUUAAG
rnacentral:lncRNA from 1 species